GGUGGCCUAGUGGUUGGAGCAUCUGCCUUGGAUGCAGAAGGUUGUUGGUUUGAGCCAUGGCGAAUCAUACCAAAGACU